UGAAACUAAAGAUCCACUUCAUCAAUCCACAAAACUAAGUGUGAGAAACACAUCAAAUCCAUUCAAGUCAAGAAAUUCCAUGGAAGGUGGAACUAGGAUUUUGUUCAAGUGAAGCAUUUCAACUCAAGGCUUAUUCCUACAAUAACCAAGAUUAAAGUUGAAGGGAUUGAAGGACAUUGUGAUACGCUCAAAAGCAGGAAGUUAAGGUACUGAUAUACAGGACGACACAUCUGCUCAGUAGGACAACAUUCGUAUCAGCUUAUUGGUGAGCCUCAUCUCACUCGGGGUUUAGUCAACUUUUGUUUUAUGAUUA